UAUAUGUGCAUAGUGGAAAGUCAAG
rnacentral:piRNA from 1 species